ensembl:lncRNA
GCCAGCUCAACUUGUUCACCUACAACCAUGGAGGAUGAGCAUGUGGGGGCUGGAUGUGUCCAGGGGAGUCUGAUAAGGGGGCUGCCAGGAGCCUAAAGAGGGUAUCUGCUCACAUGUUGGCUGCAGCAAGCAGGAAGGAACAGCCCCUGGACAACAGAGAAUUCCAAAAAAUAAGGCUUUCCAGGAUUUUCUGCGUAGGAAAGAAAGACACUACUGUGUUCAAGGGUCUAAAUGUUUUUCUACUUCUUCACAGAUAUUGCCAAGGUGCUGUCCAAAAGGGGCUUCCCUGGUGGUCAGUGGUAAAAAAUCUCCUGUGAUGCAACAGACAUGGGUUCGAUCCCUAAUCCAGGAAGAUCUCACAUGCGGAGCAACUAAGCCUGUGCGCUACAAUUACUGAGCCUGUGCUCUAGAGCCUGAACCGCGACCACUGAGCCCCUAUGCUGCAACUCCUGAACCUAGAGCCCUACUGAGCUCACGCACCCUAGAGCCUGUGCUCCAUAACAAAAGAAGCCAC